rnacentral:rRNA from 1 species
GAUGAACGCUGGCGGCGUGCUUAACACAUGCAAGUCGAACGAUGAAGCCCAGCUUGCUGGGUGGAUUAGUGGCGAACGGGUGAGUAACACGUGAGUAACCUGCCCUUAACUCUGGGAUAAGCCUGGGAAACUGGGUCUAAUACCGGAUAGGAGCGUCCACCGCAUGGUGGGUGUUGGAAAGAUUUAUCGGUUUUGGAUGGACUCGCGGCCUAUCAGCUUGUUGGUGAGGUAAUGGCUCACCAAGGCGACGACGGGUAGCCGGCCUGAGAGGGUGACCGGCCACACUGCGACUGAGACACGGCCCAGACUCCUACGGGAGGCAGCAGUGGGGAAUAUUGCACAAUGGGCGCAAGCCUGAUGCAGCGACGCCGCGUGAGGGAUGACGGCCUUCGGGUUUUAAACCUCUUUCAGUAGGGAAGAAGCGAAAGUGACGGUACCUGCAGAAGAAGCACCGGCUAACUACGUG